CAGCAGCAGCCACGGUAAUACGAAGGGGGCUAGCGUUGCUCGGAAUUACUGGGCGUAAAGGGAGCGUAGGCGGACAUUUAAGUCAGGGGUGAAAUCCCAGAGCUCAACUCUGGAACUGCCUUUGAUACUGGGUGUCUUGAGUGUGAUAGAGGUAUGUGGAACUCCGAGUGUAGAGGUGAAAUUCGUAGAUAUUCGGAAGAACACCAGUGGCGAAGGCGACAUACUGGAUCAUUACUGACGCUGAGGCUCGAAAGCGUGGGGAGCAAACAGGAUUAGAUACCCCCGUAGUCCCUGUCUCUUAUAC
rnacentral:rRNA from 1 species